rnacentral:lncRNA from 1 species
GAGAAGCCCGCGCUGAUCUACUCGAGCAUCGAGCUGGUCGUGUACAACACUGGUGCCACCCUCAUCCGCGUGCCCAUCGCCGCCAAUGUGACCCGCAGCCAGAUCAGGUGCCCUGGCUUCCUGACCUAUGGCACCACCCCCAUUGCCGGCUACCCCACUGGCAUCGACGCCACCACCUGGCCCAACUGGAAGAUUGCCGGCGUGCGCAUCAACAUGGGCGCGGGCAACAAGAAGCCCAAGACCUCGAUUGACGCGGUCGGCCUCAACCUGAAGUAAACAGCUUAGU